UCAAUCUCUGCUUCACUUGCAUUUUCCUGGUAAGAACUCAACUCCACUUCCGUAUGAGUUUCAAUUUUGCUUCUGAUUUUGAGUUUUGUUUCUCUUUGGAAUCACAAAUUAGGCAGAAAUUCUCUGGAGCUGGAACCUAGACAUUGUUAGGAGCUUAGGAGCUGGAAGUCAUGCCAAGGUUCAAGCGUUUCCACAACCCACAAAAAUCAGCGUCUGGAUCAUCAAUUGAAGCUUCUUCACAAUCAGCUCCUGAAGUCUCUCAAAAAGCCCCACCAUCGAAGAACCCCGUGAGUACACCAUCUUGGAAUGUUGAAGCAAUAGGUUGUAUGCAGUACUCUCCAAAAUAUAUCAUUGAUUUCUUUCCUAAUUGGUAUUACUCUAUUUGGAUGGGCAACCAAGCAAGUUAUAAAUGUUAUUCAGGUUGGUUCAUGAUACAUUUAUGCUUGAUAUUUAGAUGAUGAUUGAUGAGGUGUUGUAUAAUGUAUCUAUCUAGUUUUUUUUACCAA